rnacentral:lncRNA from 1 species
UUGAUGGUUGUUUUACGUUCAGUGGCAAAUAGUUCAUGCAUGUUCGGGACAAUACAAUACAAGCUCAGUAAGUCGGACAAACAGUGCAAAUUGUAUGCAAAAUUUCACAAAGUUCAACAGUGUCAUUUGUGGAAAAUUAUUUACGAAACAAAUCUUGAGAUCAUACAUGCAUUCUUUAAGUAAAACAAACUGCAAAUGCGAAAUAUAAAAGGUUCAGCUUGAAAUUCCACAUGUAGGAGAUGUAAGCCGGAGUCUGCGUGCCUUUUAUAUUUUAUCAAAACGUCUAAUCCAGCAACCUGUCAUGAACAAAAAAUAAAGGAAACCAAGACGAAAUGCGCACCUUUAAUAUGAGUACAUUUUUGGUAACACCAGGUACAUAAUUUAAACCUGAAGCAAAAAGACAGCACUCAGUCCUUAAUAAUAAGCCGUAUAAACCCUAUAUGUAUACACCAAGUGCGCGAUUGACGGUAGAACGGAC